rnacentral:rRNA from 1 species
GAUGAACGCUGGCGGCGUGCUUAACACAUGCAAGUCGAACGGAAAGGCCCAAGCUUGCUUGGGUACUCGAGUGGCGAACGGGUGAGUAACACGUGGGUGAUCUGCCCUGUACUUCGGGAUAAGCCUGGGAAACUGGGUCUAAUACUGGAUAGGCCCACUUCUUGGAUGGUGUGGUGGAAAGUUUUUUCGGUGUGGGAUGAGCUCGCGGCCUAUCUGCUUGUUGGUGGGGUAAUGGCCUACCAAAGCGUCGACGGGUAGCCGGCCUGAGAGGGUGUAAGGCGACACUGUGAGAGGGAGACACCCCAGACACCUCUGCGAGAGAGAAGAGUGGAGUAUAGUACAAUAUGGGCGAACCUGUUGUAGAGAGGCCGCGCGGGGGAUGUGGGGCUUCUGGUUGUGUACUCCUUUCGCUGCAGACGAAGCGUUUUUGUGACGGUACCUGGAGAAGAAGCGCCGGCUAACUACGUG